rnacentral:lncRNA from 1 species
GAUUUAGGGGUCCAAACCCGGGCGCGAUUCACAUGUGUGCUGGGAACAAGUCUCACACAUAUGAUGACACAUGGUACAUAAACAAAUGUCACAUCAUUAAUAUAUAACGAAGUUCUAUACAAAAUAGUUAAAUAAUUACAUCAUACGAAGACAACAAUCCAGCAACCAUAGUUGAAUGGGAGACAACGGCCAAGACCACUCACGAACUCAUCACUACAUCCUUCACGUGCCUCAUCUUGUGGUACCUGUUCUUGACCUAGGGGAUGUGAGUACAACAAGGGUGAGCUCACAUACGUUCAUCGCUCAACAAGUUGUGGGGAAUAAUGUGCAUGAACUCAAAAAAGGUGGGAACUCAUGUAAGUGUAAGGCUUACCAAAGGAGAUGGUUAAAGCUGAGCAUUGCUUUUAGUGUUCGUCAAAAUUGUAUUAGCAGUUACCUGGUAUAAGUAGAUACCAACCCAAUUAAAUAUGAGAUCACAAUUGAUAAUAACACCCACAAUGCAAUGCAAAUGACAAUUUGAGUUUAAUUCUAUAAGUUAACCAUGUGAGUGUCUGAGUCGCUCAUGCACGUGAGCAUGUCUGAUAUACCAGUUUUACACUCUGUAGAGGUUGCGCAUCUUUACCCACAAGUCGUGUUACCCAUUUGCCAUGGGGUUGAUCGGACCCCAUACACCUCUACCGAGGAAGAGAGGCAGGGUAGCACUACAAGGCCUUUCCAAAGUUCCGCUAGUUUGAGAAUACCCACUAUGAUUUUAGGACAAAGGAAGCAUAUGAAUCCCUCGUGCGAACUGCCAUCGCAGCAGUUUGACCCAAGAACCUCUCUAUACUCUGUAGCGACGCCUCCCUGAUUGCCCCUUUUGGGUAAGGUAAUCUCUUCCUAGCUUUCCUAAUUACUUGGCCAAGGGCGUCCCAUUCCACCAUUGUGGUAGCACUGUUUUCUCGAGUGGUUCACCAUGUUCCAAUUAACAUGAUGAUCUUAUCAAGAAUAACAAUUAAAACAACAACAUAAAUGGAAUAUGAUCAUAAUAAAACAAUAAUUUCCCAAAACCAGGUAGAGCAAUAGCAAAUCUACCCAAUAGUUCAUCUGUUUGCAAGGUGGGGGAUAAACAAUGCUAGUGAAACCUAUUAGGUCCCAUCAAAUUAACUUGAGCAUGUCACAGUGAUUAGCAGGAACAUUAUUAGGUAGAGAAGAAUGAUCAAGGGCACAACUUGCCUUAGACUUGAGAUCCCCAGGUACCAAAUUGGUCUUCAAGUGACUCGUAACCUCGC